rnacentral:rRNA from 1 species
GACAGAGGAGGCAAGCGUUGUCCGGACUUACUGGGCGUAAAGCGUCCGCAGGUGGUCGUGCAAGUGCGCUGUGAAAGCGCUCGGCUUAACUGAGCGAGGCCAGUGCAGACUGCACGACUCGAGACCGGGAGAGGUCGGUGGAAUUGCCGGUGUAGUGGUGAAAUUCGUAGAUAUUCGGAAGAACACCAGUGGCGAAGGCGACUCACUGGACAUGUAUUGACGCUGAGGUACGAAAGCGUGGGGAGCAAACAGG